rfam:Struthio camelus australis contig726, whole genome shotgun sequence.
GGCAUUAAGGUGGGUGGAAUAAUAUAACAAUAUCCGUGUUGUUAUAGUAUUCCACCUACCCUGAUGUA